AACGAACGCUGGCGGCAUGCCUAACACAUGCAAGUCGAACGAGACCUUCGGGUCUAGUGGCGCACGGGUGCGUAACGCGGGGGAACCUGCCCUUAGGUUCGGAAUAACUCCCCGAAAGGGGUGCUAAUACCGGAUAAUGUCUUCGGACCAAAGAUUUAUCGCCUUUGGAUGGGCCCGCGUUGGCUUAGCUAGUUGGUAGGGUAAAAGCCUACCAAGGCGACGAUCCAUAGCUGGUCUGAGAGGAUGAUCAGCCACACUGGGACUGAGACACGGCCCAGACUCCUACGGGAGGCAGCCGUGGGGAAUAUUGGACAAUGGGCGAAAGCCUGAUCCAGCAAUGCCGCGUGAGUGAUGAAGGCCUUAGGGUUGUAAAGCUCUUUUACCCGGGAUGAUAAUGACAGUACCGGGAGAAUAAGCUCCGGCUAACUCCGUG
rnacentral:rRNA from 1 species